GGAAGCGUGCCCGAAAGAUAAGGACCUCC
rnacentral:tRNA from 1 species